rnacentral:tRNA from 1 species
GCAUCAGACGCCGAAUCGGUCUGGCAGGCGGCCUGUAAAGCCGUCGCUCUACGGAGCGUGGGGGUUCGAGUCCCUCCUGAUGCA